UACGUAGGGUGCAAGCGUUGUCCGGAAUUAUUGGGCGUAAAGAGCUUGUAGGCGGUUUGUCGCGUCUUCUGUUAAAUUUCGGGGCUCAACCCCGAACUUGCAGUGGGUACGGGCAGACUAGAGUGUGGUAGGGGAGACUGGAAUUCCUGGUGUAGCGGUGAAAUGCGCAGAUAUCAGGAGGAACACCAACAGCGAAGGCAGCACUCUGGGCCGGUACUGACGCUGAGGAGCGAAAGCCAGGGGAGCAAACGGG
rnacentral:rRNA from 1 species